UACGAAGGGGGCUAGCGUUGCUCGGAAUCACUGGGCGUAAAGCGCACGUAGGCGGCUUUCUAAGUCAGGGGUGAAAUCCUGGAGCUCAACUCCAGAACUGCCUUUGGUACUGGGAAGCUCGAGUCCGGAAGAGGUGAGUGGAACUCCGAGUGUAGAGGUGAAAUUCGUAGAUAUUCGGAAGAACACCAGUGGCGAAGGCGGCUCACUGGUCCGGUACUGACGCUGAGGUGCGAAAGCGUGGGGAGCAAACAGG
rnacentral:rRNA from 1 species